AUUGAACGCUGGCGGCAUGCUUUACACAUGCAAGUCGAACGGCGGCACGGGCUUCGGCCUGUUGGCGAGUGGCGAACGGGUUAGUAAUAUAUCGUAACGUACCCAGUAUUGGGGGAUAACGUAGCGAAAGUUACGCUAAUACCGCAUACGAUCUAUGUAUGAAAGCAGGUUACCGCAAUGCCUUGUGCUCCUGGAGCAGCCGAUAUCUGAUUAGCUAGUUGGUGAGGUAAAGGCUCACCAAGGCGACGAUCAGUAGCUGGUCUGAGAGGACGACCAGCCACACUGGACCUGAGACACGGUCCAGACUCCUACGGGAGGCAGCAGUGGGGAAUUUUGGACAAUGGGAGCAAGCCUGAUCCAGCAAUGCCGCGUGAGUGAAGAAGGCCUUCGGGUUGUAAAGCUCUUUUGUCAGGGAAGAAACGGUAGAGGCUAAUAUCCUUUGCUAAUGACGGUACCUGAAGAAUAAGCACCGGCUAACUACGUG
rnacentral:rRNA from 1 species